CACGUAGGCACCAAGCGUUGUCCGGAUUUAUUGGGCGUAAAGAGCUCGUAGGCGGUUCAGUAAGUCGGGUGUGAAAACUUUGGGCUUAACCCAAAGCGUGCAUCUGAUACUGCUGUGACUUGAGUUCGGUAGGGGAGUGGGGAAUUCCUAGUGUAGCGGUGAAAUGCGCAGAUAUUAGGAGGAACACCGGUGGCGAAGGCGCCACUCUGGGCCGAAACUGACGCUGAGGAGCGAAAGCAUGGGUAGCAAACAGG
rnacentral:rRNA from 1 species